rnacentral:lncRNA from 1 species
CAUGGGGACAGGACCCACAGGGACGCGAUGGACCCACGGAGAUGGGGACGGGACCCACGGGGACAGGAGGGACCCAUGGGGACGGGGACGGGACCCAAGGGGACCUGCAGGGAUGGGAUGGGACCCAUGGGGACAUCGAUGGGACCCACAGGGAUGAGACGGGACCCCCGGGGACCUGCAGGGAGGAGACGGGACCCACGGGGUUGGGGACGGGGCCCGGUGAGGGCCAGGACGAGGUCCCCGUGGGUGCUGGGGGUCCCUGGGCGUCCCAGGGGUCCCAUGGGUGCUUGGGGGUCCCCGGGGGGGGUCCAGGCAGCACCCUGACCCCCCGCCCCCCCCCCAGGGCAGAGCCUGGGCUACGGCUUCGUGAACUACGUGGACCCCGGCGACGCCGACAAGGCCAUCAGCACCCUCAACGGCCUCAAGCUGCAGACCAAGACCAUCAAGGUGCCCGGACGCCUGGGCCCCCAGGUGGGGGGGGCGGGGAGGGGGCGCCUGGGGCCCUGGGGGGGGUCCCUGGGUCCAUGGGGGGUCCCUGGGGGACACCGGGAUCCAUGAUGGCGGCUUGGGGUCCCCAUGGGGAUGCCUGGGUCCCUGGGGGGACACCUGGGUCCUUGGGGGGUGCCUGGGGGAUGCCUGGGCCCCUGAGGGGGGGGGUCCUUGAGGACUCCUGGGCCCCUGGGGGAUCCUUGGGGACGCCUGGGUCCCUGGGGGAUGCCUGGGCCCCUGGGUGGUGCCUGGGGAAGCCUGGGCCCCUGGGGGGGUUGCUUGGGGACUCCUGGGCCCCUGGGGGACGUAUGGGGACUCCUGGGCCCCUGGGGGACACCUGGGGACACCUGGGUCCCUGGGGGACUCCUGGGCCCCUGGGGGUUGCUUGGGGACUCCUGGGUCCCUGGGGACUCCUGGGCCCCUGGGGGACGUAUGGGGACUCCUGGGCGCCUGGGGGACACUUGGGGACACCUGGGCCCCUGGGGGACACCUGGGGACACCUGGGUCCCUGGGGGACUCCUGGGCCCCUGGGGGACGUGUGGGGACUCCUGGGCCCCUGGGGGAUGCCUGGGGACGCCUGGGCCCCUGGGGGAUGCCUGGGCCCCUGGGGGUGCCUGGGGACACCUGGGUCCCUGGGGGACUCCUGGGCCCCUGGGGGACGUAUGGGGACUCCUGGGCCCCUGGGGGUGCCUGGGCCCCUGGGGGACAUGUGGG